UAGGCAAGUCCACCCCCUGUCUGGUUACCCAUGGCUGGACAAAGCAGCUAUAAAAAUAAAACAAAGCUCUCCCUCGCUCUCCUGCUGGACAGCCUGGAGUCUGCAGCAAACACCCUCCAGCAGCGCUAGAGAAGGGGCUGCCUGAUGCUUUCCCUCUCAGCCAGUAUGGCCCAGGUGUGUAUCUGUUCCCCUCAGCUUCGGCGGAAGUGGUUUGAGCUGGGUUGAUAGUUGCUUAUCCAGGGAGCAGCCAAACAAUGAUUUUGGUCAUUUCUGCUGCUUUUCAGGCCAGUUCUCAUUCGCCCCUUCGCUGCGGGUGUCUCCCUGUGCCACCACUUCGAAGGGAAGCCAUGGAGGUGAGACCGAGUGGGCUACUGAGGAGCAUGGAGAGCGUGUGUUGGCAAGAGGACGCUGGUAACUUGAGCAGCAAUGAUGUGGUUAAUUAGUAAUAAUAACUUGGCAGGAGCUCGUGGAAAGUGGGAGGUGACCAGAUGUCACCGGCUGGACCCUUCUGAAAUCAUCAGCUUUCCAGCAGAGAGACGUCCCCAUCCCAGUCCUUGGCCUUACAGCUGCCUCCAAACAAACCGUGUUUCCUUGCAAAUGAGGACAAGUUGCUUGAGGUUUCUGAAGGGAGACAGGUCUGUGUUGAGACAUGUGCAGUUGUUCCCAUUCUUCCCGUGCAGGGUCAUCUCAGUACUCACUGUUGUUUUAUCUGGGCUAAAAUGUCAAGAUAGGCAGCCUCGGCCCAGUUUGCUGACUAGACCUAUAGCAAGAAGAACUCUGGGGGUGGGUGUGAAGAUCCCCUUCUGUAAGUGCCGGCUGUGUCCUUGGACAAUAAUAAUGUAUCCACCAGCUGCACUCUUCUUCCGAGGGUCCUCCAGCAUCUUAUAUACAUUUACAAAGCUUCACAAGAACAUUGUGAGGUAG
rnacentral:lncRNA from 1 species